UUUUGUUUCAUUUCAUUUCAGUGCUUGUGGUCUGUUUGUGCUGUACACAUUCUCUCUCUAGGAUUUAUCAUCUUUGCCUUUCUCUCUCUUCAGAUCAAUUACUAUGGAUAAGUCCUAUCCCACCGUGAGCGAGGAGUACCUCAAGGCUGUUGACAAAUGUAAAAGGAAACUCAGAGCACUCAUUGCUGAGAAGAAUUGUGCUCCUAUUAUGCUCCGUCUUGCAUGGCACUCUGCUGGUACCUAUGAUGUGUGUUCCAAGACUGGUGGUCCCUUUGGUACCAUGAGGUUCAAAGCUGAGCAAGCUCAUGGUGCAAACAAUGGUCUUGACAUUGCUCUCAGACUCUUGGAGCCCAUUAGGGAGCAGUUUCCCACCCUCUCCCAUGCUGAUUUCCACCAAUUGGCUGGUGUUGUUGCUGUUGAAGUUACUGGAGGACCUGAUGUUCCUUUUCACCCUGGCAGAGAGGACAAGCCAGAACCACCUAUUGAAGGUCGCUUGCCUGAUGCCACCAAGGGCUAUAACCACUUGAGGGACGUGUUUGUGAAACAAAUGGGUCUUUCUGAUAAGGAUAUUGUUGCACUCUCUGGUGCCCAUACCUUGGGAAGGUGCCACAAGGAGCGUUCUGGUUUUGAGGGACCUUGGACCGCCAAUCCCCUUAUCUUUGACAACUCAUACUUUACGGAGCUUUUGAGUGGGGAAAAAGAAGGGCUCUUACAGUUGCCAUCAAACAAGGCUCUCCUCUGUGAUCCUGCUUUCCGCCCCCUUGUUGAGAAAUAUGUUGCGAUUAGUAUAAUACUAUUCAUCUAAGUUGUAAAAUGCUGGCUGUGUUGUUGACUGAUUGGAACAACUCUUUGCUUAUGUCAGGAUGAAGAUGCCUUCUUCGCUGACUAUGCUAAGGCUCACUUGACACUCUCUGAAUUGGGAUUUGCUGAAGCUUAAAAUGGUGACGGGAAGAGUUGGGAGAGUAGUGGCAUAUUUUACUAUUGUUUCAAUUCUGAAAAGCUCGCUGGAGUUGUUGGGGGAUAAUUUUAGGCUUUUUAAUAAGUUCCAUUUUCCUUUUUGAUAAUUUUCCAUUUGGUACUUUUUUUUUCUUAACUUGCUCUACUUUUAGGAAAGAAAUGAAAGAUGAGUUAUGCGCUCCAAAUUGUUAUAUUUACAGUGCAGCAAAAAUGUUAUAUUUACAGUGCUUGAUGUUUACCCCUAACUCUUUAUAUAAAUCAAUAAGCGAAGU